UUUUUUUAAUGAUUUUUAUUUUUUCCAUUAUAGCUGGUUUACAGUGUUCUGUCAAUUUCUGCUGUACAGCAGAGUGGCCCAUUCACACAUAUAUAUAUAUACGUUCUUGUUCUCACAUUAUUCUCUAUCAUGUUCUAUCAUAAGUGACUAGAUAUAGGUCCCAGUGCUAUACAGCAGGAUCUCAUUGCUUAUGCACUCCAAAUGUGAUAGUUUGCAUCUGAUAACCCCAGACUCCCAGUCCAUCCCACUCCCUUCUCCUCCCCCUUGGCAACCACAAGUCUGUUCUCCAUGUCCAUGAGUUUCUUUUCUGUGGAAAGCUUCAUUUGUGCCUUAUGUUAGAUUCCAAAUAUAAGUGACAUCAUAUGGUAUUUGUCUUUCUCUUUCUGACUUAAUUCACUUAGUAUGAGAGUCUCUCGUUCCAUCCAUGUUGCUGCAGAUGGCAUUAUUUUGUUCUUUUUGUGGCUGAGUAGUAUUCCAUUGUGUGUGUGUGUGUGUGUGUGUGUGUACACUGCAUCUUCUUAAUCCAUUCAUCUGUUGAUGGACAUUCAGGUUGUUGCCAUGUUUUGGCUAUCACAGAUAGUGCUACAAUGAACAUACAGGUACGUGUGUCUUUUUCAAGGAAUGUUUUGUCCAGAUGUAUGCCCAAGAGUCGGGUUGCUAGAUUGUAUGAUAGUUUCGUGUUUAGUUUUCUGAGGUAUCUCCAUACUGUUUUUCAUAGUGGUUGUACCAAUUUACAUUCCCACCAGCAGUGUAGGAGGGUACCCUUUUCUCCACACCCUCUCUAGCAUUUGUUGUUUGUUGACUUGUAUCCAUUCUAAACUGUCUUCAUCCUCAGCCAUAGCCUUAGCAGAUCUUGAGGCUUACCUGGUGGUGUAACCCAAAUACUCAUUUCUGAGCCAUCUGGACUUCUGGUAAUCACACCUUUCUCGGGUCAGGCUUGCUGCCUGUGAACAUAACUUGGACCCCGUCCUCGGGGUUCUGGGAGAGCUGGACCCAGAUGUUCCUGUCCUUUCCCCUGUUAAAUGUUGAGCCACUGGUCUCCAGGGAUGGGCCCUGAGAGCCCAUUGGGUCAGAGGACAAAUGGCCGCAGUAGUAAGCAGACAGCGGCAGAGAGGUUUUGCAACCCAAGCAAUGACAUUUACAGGACGUCCUGAGGAGGAUACCCUUAUGCCCAUGAAUGGCCUGUGAUGCAGACGGGAGUGUGUAGGUGGAGAAUCUCCCACUUCUCCGCAGGACAGGCCAGAGUUUUGACUCUGCAAAGCUCAGAGGGAGAAAGGGAGGUGGUUUAUCAGGCACUUUUUUUUCUUUUUUCUUUUUUCUUUUUGCUGUUUAGGGCCGCACCUGCGACAUUUGGAAGUUCCUGGGCUAGGGGUCAAAUUGGGGCUGCAGCGGCCGGCCUACACCACAGCCACAGCAACGCCAGGUUCAAGCCAUAUCUGCGACCCAUGCCACAGCUUGCAGCAACAUCAUAUCCUUAACCCACUGAAUGGGGCCAGGGAUCAAACACAUGUCCUCAUGGAUGCUAGUUGGGUCCUUAACCUGCCUGGCCACCACGGGAACUCCAGUAGGCAUUUUCUAUAAAUGACUCAGUUGGCCCCACCCAUGGUCAAUGCUGCCCAGCCCAUGGAUCAGAUCAGACUUGUCCCAUGGCACCAGGAAGGUAGUCACUCCUUUUUGAGAAGCUGAUGUAUCUGGUUCCAUAUACACCCCAGGCACUCUGUCCUGGACCCGACGCUUCACCUGCUUGGAGAAAGAUGUUGAGUGCCCGUGGGCACUCAGUCCCAGACACUUGAUUCUGUGGCCUAUGCAGCAGCUUGAGGAGGACUUAGUUUUCAGCAUGCAAAGUUUAGGUUGGGAAUACGUAGCAACACCCUGCAAAAAGCAACCUGAGGCAGAAGCCAGCACAGGGCAGGCUCCUGGCCAUGGGUGCUGUCUGGUGGAUCCCUUAGUAAGCAAAGAGCAGUUUGUAACCAUUCCCGCUCACUGUGCCAAUUGCUGUAAAGGUUCCUGAGAUUUGUUUUCAUCAGAUUUGGUAAGACACACAGACACAGAAAUGAUGGCCAUAAAGGAAGAAGUUGAUACUCACAGUUCCCUAAAAACUGGAGAGAUGCCAGGCCAUGAAGGGCCACAUGGGGAAGUACCAGGGUUAGUCAGGAGGCAGAGAGAGGGAGGAAGAGGAGGAAGUGUUGGCAAGAGUCUUUAUUGUGGUUUCUGCAGGAGGGAAUGUGUGAGGCAUGGUAAUGAGGCUUAGAAUUGGCUAAUUGGAAUAGUUUCAUCGGGAUAUAGGGGCUGACCCAAGCUGUGUGGGAACUGGCUCUGGGGUGAUUAGGAUAGGGGGAGAGUGACCCAGAUUGUGAGGGUGGUGGUGUGGGCUCUGGGUUGGUUGGAGUAUGAAAAGUGUGCUGGUGGGUGAGUCACUUGCUGUCUCUGGGAAUUGGAUGAGCACGUGAGGUAAGAUGAAGCUUUGAUUCCUUCAGGGCCUUUGGGCUCACUAUAGUGCAAAACUGCACUGUGAUUUGUUACUGAAGGCAAAAGUCAAUAAUGAAAUUUAGAAAUGACAGAAUCAGGAGUUCCUGUUUUGGCACAGUGGAAACGAAUCCGACUGGGAACCAUAAGGUUGCGGGUUAGCUCCCUGGCCUCGUUCAAUGGGUUAAGGAUCUGGCAUUGCCACGAGCUGUGGUUUAGGUCACAGACUUGGCUCGGAUCCUGUGUUGCUGUGGCUGUGGCUGUAGGCUGGAGCUCUGAUUCGACAUCUAGCCUGGGAACUUCCAUAUGCCUCAGGUGCGGCCUU
rnacentral:lncRNA from 1 species